AGAACGAACGCUGGCGGCGUGGAUAAGACAUGCAAGUCGAACGGGAUUACUUUUGUAGCAAUACAGAAGUAAUUCAGUGGCGAACGGGUGCGUAACACGUGGGCAAUCUGCCGAAAAGUGGGGGAUAGCUCGCCGAAAGGCGAAUUAAUACCGCAUGUGGUGAGGGACGACAUCUUCCUGAAUCCAAAGCCGGGGCAACCUGGCGCUUUUUGAGGAGCCCGCGGCCUAUCAGCUAGUUGGUGAGGUAACGGCUCACCAAGGCUUUGACGGUAGCUGGUCUGAGAGGACGACCAGUCACACUGGAACUGAGACACGGUCCAGACACCUACGGGUGGCAGGCAGGUCGAAGUAACUUUUUUUCUACAAGUUGGGGGGAAAACCCCUGGAAGGACGCGACGCCGCGGUGGACGGAAUGGAAAGGCGUUUUCGGGUUAGUAAACCGUCCUUGGUACUAGUUUAGAA
rnacentral:rRNA from 1 species